rnacentral:rRNA from 1 species
GACGAACGCUGGCGGCGUGCCUAAUACAUGCAAGUCGAACGCACUCUCGUUUAGAUUGAAGGAGCUUGCUCCUGAUUGAUAAACAUUUGAGUGAGUGGCGGACGGUGAGUAACACGUGGGUAACCUGCCCUAAAGUGGGGGAUAACAUUUGGAAACAGAUGCUAAUACCGCAUAAAACCUAAACACCGCAUGGUGUAGGGUUGAAAGAUGGUUUCGGCUAUCACUUUAGGAUGGACCCGCGGUGCAUUAGUUAGUUGGUGAGGUAAAGGCUCACCAAGACCGUGAUGCAUAGCCGACCUGAGAGGGUAACCGGCCACACUGGGACUGAGACACGGCCCAGACUCCUACGGGAGGCAGCAGUAGGGAAUCUUCCCACAAUGGACGAAAGUCUGAUGGAGC